CAGCUGUCAUCCCCGCCCCUCACGGGGAGGUGGGCAGCCCCGUUCCAGGUCUUAGAAAUCACGGAUCCAUCCUCGAGGUGGAAAGGCACUUAGAGAUGCCGGAGCCGGGCGGGGCGCCGAGCCCCGUUUGUGCAGAAGCAGAGACAGGUGAGGAGCACCUGCCUGGAGGCAGACGCCCCCGCCCACGUCUGCACGCAGCCCAGACGCCGCCUGCACCCCCCAGGCCCCCAGAGCCCGCCUGCCGGGGUGCGUGUCCCCGAGGACGCAGCAGGAGGAAGGCGCCGAAUCACGUCCCGCAGCCCCCGGUGCAGGGAAAGGGGCUCUGUGGCUGCUGCGGGAGCCGGGCCUGUGCACCCCCUGCCCCGCGGGCUCCCCCUGCCCCGCGGGCUCCCGUGCGCCGCGCAUCCGGCAGCCGCGUUCCUUCCGGAGCCGAGCGCGCGCGCGUCCUCCCGGCCGCAGCCCCCGCUCGUCGUGCAGCGCCGUGUACGCAGUGUCUGGAGAUCGACCCCGACUCGCUUCAGGUCUGCAGCUAAUUGUUGGGCUCACGGAACUAGGACGCUUCCUUCCCCCAGAGCUGAAGUGCGUGCUUGAAGCCCAGGGAGCGCGCGAUGGCCGCGGCACCAAAGGGGUUUCUCCGUCUAUUCCAUUGCUGAUCGCUUUUCUCCCCGUUCUGUCGUAUUCGCCCAGAGUAAGGGGCAUAGCACGGAGCGGUCCGCAGCCCGUCAGUGGGGCCGAGGCCAGUGCGGGGGGCGGGCGGCCAGGCUCCCGGAAUCGCACCUGAGUCCGAGCACACGCAGCCCGGGGUGAGUCUCCGUGUCCGCAGUGCUUCCCGCCGGCUCCUGCUCCAGGACGGCUCCCCCAGACUCUCCGCGGCCCCAGCCCCGCCCCCAUGCACAGGAAGGGGGUGCUGGCAUUCCCAGGUCCGCCCCUCUCCUUCCCUGCAGGACCAUCGUUUGUGAGUGAGGAGGCGGGGCGGGGGGGAGUGUCCAGGCCUCAGAGACAGUUGGGGGGGGGGAGCGUCUGCGAGCAGUCAGGAUGGCCGGGGAUGCUGCGUAACACACACCCCGAACCAGAGGCUUCUGUCCUGCCCGCUCACACCGCCUGCCUGCAGACCGGCGGGGGGCUCUCCAGGGCAGCUCACCCCCACCUGCCUCAUUCCAGGCCUCCGGGGUCAGAGCGGUCGCACAUCCGGGUGGGAAGAAAGGACACGGAGAAUCCAGAACCGGCUUUUAGAUGCUUCCCUCAGAUGACACCUGCCACUUCUGACGCGCCUGCCUCCCUUCAAGGGGGUGGGGGGUGGGGACAUAGGUGAACCCGUUGGGUGGGGCAGGGCCCUAGCGUCCGCAGUGCUGGGUCCCCGGGCGGGGACAAGACAGCCUGCGGCACCUGCUAAGGACUGAAGCACGGGGAGGUGAGGGGGCCGAAUGGGAUGGGGGCCUCUGACACCGGAAAGCAAAGCUCCGAGAUCCGCUCUGAGUGGUUAAGGAGCCGCGGUGAUGUUUCUGGCAAACAGAAAUACUGCCGCACAAAUGGUCCUGAAGUAGGGAGAGCCCCUGGGCCGUCCCGAUUGGACGCCACGGCCUCCUUCAGCAUGGAGACCGCAGACGAGGCGGCAGAGGUGGGCGAGCGGGGAGGAGGGCUCCGGGAGCCUGGGGACAUCUGGGAGUGAGGCUGGCUGGAGGCAGGGAGGACGUGGGGAGAGGGGUGGGGUGGUGGUGAGCACCAACAGAGUAACUCAGGUCAUGCUCCCGGAUAACAUUUCUCAGAUUCUUCCUUUUUAAAAGUGAAGCGGAAUACAAAAAAUUUUACUUUUAUAGGCAGGAAAUGCACACAGCACCAAGGACCCGAAAGCAUGACAGGGUUCUCCGUGAGAUGCAGGUCACGGCCCCUCCCCCACUCCCCAUCCCUCCCCAGUCCCGACUCCAGCAGUUUCCCUGUCCUGUGGUCAGUAGGAGGGUCCCGUCAGGACCUCUCUCUGUAGGGAGGGGCUUCCUGUUUCCCAUCAAGCUCAGGGACUCUUGUCCCCUGCACGAUUUGUUCACACCACACUUGUCUCUCCAGCCCAACGCCUGUGCCCAGCCGGGCUGGUCUCAGCUUCCGUCUCUCUCGAGACUGGCCCAGAACCAGGAGGACAGGGGUAUUUCCCCACAUCCCCCACGCUCGGGACACAGGACUCCCCUCCCCGGACACUGGCCUGGGGCCCCGCUGGAUGCAGGCCCCUCAUGUGUGCUCUGAAGACCCCGACGCCCCCCCCCCGUCAUCUGCAGUGGAGAUAGGUGCCCAGACCCAUGCAGGCACGUCCUGUAGGCCUUGCUGUGUCCAGCUCUGUUGGGGCCUCGUGUCCUCCUGCGCACACGAAGACCUGUCCUGAGUGCGGGCGCUGCUCUGCGGGCCCCGCCCCCGCCGCCCGCCCUCGGCCCACUGCCCACAUCUCAGGUGGUGUGCUGCCUCCCUGGGGCCGUGCGCCCAUGCCCCUUUCUCUCCGUUCCCACCAAGACCCAACCUUGCCCUGCGCUGUCUUCCUGACUUCCAGCCCUUCUCCCAGCCUCUUCCCUUCCCAGUCCAUCCGUUUAUAACUUGCAAUGAACUUCCUAAGUGUGAACCUAAUAAUGUCCCCGCUGCCCUUGGAUUCUCCCCCACUGGACAGAGUCACGUCCCUCCUUCUUCGGUUGGCCUCGCCAGCUGCUCUUGGCUCUCCGUUUCUUCUGGACUUUCUUCCCUCCUCUAGGCUGACCUCACGUGUUGAGCUCCGAUCCACCUGACCCCCUCCAUCUCCUGCCCACAGUAUCCGCGCCCUCCUGUCUCCAUCUGUGUUGAUUACAGUCCCCGCAGUCCGGGGGCUGGAGCCCCCACCCCCGCGUGGCUGCAUUGCAGACAGGGCUCCGUGAAGGUAAGUUAGGGUGAGGCCACGGGGGGGACCCUAGCCCACCAGGACCGGCGUCCAUAUAAGCAGAGACGGGGAAGGCCGUGUGAGGACAGCAAGCAGGUGCCGCCCCAGGCUGGAGAGUUCUCACCUCCAGUAACCAGCCCCGCCAGCCCCUGGCCGUCAGAAAGCCCAGCUGUGGCUCUGCUGGGCGCCUGAGAGACCAGGAUUCCAGUGCGGAGAAGUGGGCUGCCGCCGUCCUGAGCACCAUUCGGGUAUGUGUGGGGCUGGGUGAUGGCGGGGCCAGCACAUUGAGAAGAUUCUGGAAAACCACACUUCUGUCAGCAGGAAUGCGGAUGUUCAAGGGGUUUGGAUUUGGGCGGGAGAGAAACCCCCACGUUACAGAGCGUCUAGGUGGGAACAAGCCCUCUGUGCUCUGGAUGGCAGGAGCCCGGUGCUCGGGAACACUCGGAAACACCGGGAACACUGGGAGCGCCAGGAACGUCGGGGAUGAGGCCAGGUUUGGGCACCACGGAAGGUUCUGUGCUGCGUUGGUGGCACGACCGGCUUCUCCUGACUGUUCACACUCUUCCCGCUAACAGGGACAUCCGCACGUGUGGCCCCGUCCACCUCCCCGUGCUCCAGGCCCAGAACAGCACCCACGCUCCCUGAGUCCCCCUGUGCCUGAGGGUGGGGACCCCAGAGACGGAACCACAGGGCCUGAGCAGGAAGACAGCAAGCAGCCUUCGAGAGGAGCAAGGGGACAGGGAGGCAUGCCAGUCUGUGGCUGAUCUGAACCUUCCUGGUUACAGGGACGGAGGACUGGAGACAUUUAAACAGAACGUGUCGCCAGCAUUCCGGGCAGACCCCGUGUUUGGAAGCACCUCAUCGGUGUCCCAGGGCCCUGCGCUGUCCACAGCGGCCUGCUGCGGGGUGGCUUCCCCAGUCCGGCCAGAAUCCACAUACCCCGGAAGCUGGUUGUGAAACAAGCACAGAGCUGCCUGAGCAGACUAUGGCCCCGGGGCUCAAAAGCACUAAGGGGCUGACCAGGCCUGGGUCCCACAGGAAUAAAGUGGAGACUGGAUUUUGCCCCCAGGAGAACGGAGGUGGUGCUGCAAAGCCUGCAGCCUUCGCGUCUUUCACGGCCCUCUGGUGACAGAGCACGGGCGCCCACUGGAGGCCAAACACCUUCCCUGGUGUGCUGUGCAGACUGACCUGGCUCCGCGUGGCCUGGCAGGUGCUGACACGCAGGGGUCAGGGCGCACAGGACGGAGCCCUGGGAGCAGUGUGAGUGCCACCCACCAUUCAGGCUGGCACAGGAGCACAUCUCGAUGCACGCCUGUGCUCAGGGAUGAACUUGAGCUGAGGCCCCCGUGCAGGCGGUGAGGCUGACUGGCCCUCCUUGACAGAAAUUGCCCCCUCUGACACUCCCCUUCCCUUUGCAGAUGCUCAAAUAGGGCUGCCGGAGCACCAUCCCCAGCAGACGGCUCAGUCCCCGGAGGAGACUCCAUCUGCCUCCAAGCCUCCUUGCAACGGCUGCAGACCUAACAGCCACAGGGACCUGACCCAGAAGGCCGUGCAGCAGUUCAAGUCACUGGCUUUACAGAAUCCAGAUAAGCUUAGACGCCCAUCCGUGUGCGUGCACCUCGGAAAUCACUUAGAAGACUGAGCCGUGAAUAAACAGACAACCCGCAUCCUGGUUACUACUAAGAGGAUUGACUCAAUGAUAGAAAACCUCCAACAAACAAAAGUCCAGAGCCAGACUACCUCACUGGGGAAUACUGGUGAACAUUUAGAGAAAAAAUUAACAGCAAUCCUUCUCAAACUCUUCCAAAACAUAGAAGAGGGGGGAACACUUGAAAAUUCAUUUUUUGAGGCCAGCAUUACCCUGAUACCAAAGCAGACAAGGACUUAACAAGAAAAGAGAACUACAGACCAGUAUCUCUAAUGAACAUAGAUUAAAAAAAUCCUCAGUGAAUUAUUAGCAAAUCGAAUCCAGCAAUACUGUGAACGGGCCAUACAACAUGAUCGGGUGGGAUUAUCCCUGGGAUGCACGGAUGUUUCAACAUCUGCAAAUCAACAUUAACAAAACGAGGGGUAAGAGUCACAGAAGCA